ensembl:antisense BC001981 cDNA sequence BC001981
UGGCGUUUGCGUCUCUUCCUCCUCCCAGCCAGCUCCCGCUCCUCCCCCGGCCGCUCGGCGCCGUCCCUCCCCAGCCUCCGCGUCUUUCCAACCGCCCGCAGACUCACGGGCCAUGCUGUCCACCGGCCGGAGACUGGAAGACAGCGACCUGGAGAAGCAAACGGCGGCUUUGCACGCUCAGCCGUUGCCGCCGGGCGCUGAAGAAGGCUGAGCCCCACAAGGGCCCUCGAUGUGGCGACGCCUCGCUCGGCCAGCCAGCCGCCCCGCCCACCGACCCACAACAGCCGCGGCGUGGCCGGUGA